UCAGCAGUUGGCUCAACAGCAGCUCUAAAGUCACCAUGAUCCGUGCCUGCGUCCUCUUGGCUCUUGCCACCAGCGCUUUCGCUGGCUACACCGGCUACGGCCUGGGCCACGGCUACGGUCUCGGCUACGGUCUCGGUUACGCCGGCUAUGGUCACGG
rnacentral:lncRNA from 1 species